rnacentral:sRNA from 1 species
UGGUCUUACGUCUAGGGCCUUGUGUCUUC